ACUUAGGUAAAGUUGGUUUUAUAUUCGCACAUUCGCACAUUCGCGUUAAAGAACUUUUUCAAUUAAAUAGUCAAUGAAGCAAUUUUUUUUCAGAUUCGAAGCAGCUACUUAAUAUUGACAACAAAGAUUGUGAACUACAACAUUUUCUACAAUCAAUCAAAAUGGGUUUUGAAAGGAUGGGCCGACUGUUCCAAAGCAAGUUGGAUGGUCUUGUCUGGACCCUACAGAACACACUACAGCCCACGUCUUGCUGUUUUAUCCACCUCGGUUUUUCUGUUUUUAAGUGUAAUAAAGACUUUACAGUGUAACAGUGUUCUCCAGGUGCUGAAUAAAAAGAAUGGCCUAACAGUAUUUUAUGUUUUCCUGUUGUAUAGCAUCUUCAAUUAACAUUAAACUCUCACAAUAACACAAUUCGUGUGCAUUGAUUGAUGUUUACAGUCCUGCAGAAAUAUCACUGUCCAUGGUACUGAAUCCAUCAGAUUAUUGACAAGUACCCAGAAAGCAUGACAGCAAACAUGAUGUUUAUUUUGGGGGUGAAGGGUGUGGAUUUUGGAAUAAACUGCUGCUUCAAUGUAUAUGUAAUGAGUGAUUAUAAUCAAGGUUUUCUUUCUAAAUAUUACAUGAGUGGAAUGACUUAUCUAGGCAUGUGAGAUUUUACUUAGUUAUAGGCUAGAAGUUACCAGUAUGAUUACUGAAAUGUUUGUUUCAUGUAUUUUCUAAUGUCUGUAUUUGAUAUCUGAAAGCAGUAACAGUGCUUGCUCAUUUAGUGAUUCUGUGAUCUUUGUAAUGGCCUACGAACUCCUGUGAGAGUCUUGAAGCUGACUUCUGCUGAUGAAACUGAAAACUAUCUUCAGUAAAUCUUUUCUUUAUUAUAA